CGGACUGGAGUCUGCAACCCGACUCCACGAAGCUGGAUUCGCUAGUAAUCGCGCAUCAGCCACGGCGCGGUGAAUACGUUCCCGGGCCUUGUACACACCGCCCGUCAAGCCAUGGGAGCCGGGGGUACCUGAAGUGCGUAACCGCGAGGAUCGCCCUAGGGUAAAACUGGUGACUGGGGCUAAGUCGUAACAAGGUACC
rnacentral:rRNA from 1 species